ensembl:lncRNA
GGGGGGACGGGUAGGGGUUGGGUUAAACGGCCACUGACGUCUCUUCUAAUUCUGAAAUUCUGCUAGACGAUGGAAACCAAGUCGAGGAGAUGAUGAUGCCCAAGACUAUGCUAGAGAGAAUGGAAAACCUGUCUUGCUCGGAACGUGGUUUGCACCAAAGGGCCAUGUGGGAAAUAUGGCCGGAGGGAGGGUAAGGAGGGCAUCGAACACCACGUUAGCCUAUAGGGGAAGCAGAGCCAUGGCAAGGCUGAGACCGGUGCAAUUAGUGAUUUAGAAAGAUUGAUGUGGAAGAAACCAGAUGUUCAGAACGUCAUUUUGUAAUUGAUUGAAGUGAGUAGUUCCUGGAUUGAGCUGUUUUUCCUGUGAUCCCACGAGGUGACGUGGAUUAACAGAAGCUCCAGGGUCCGGAGGGAGAAGGGCGGUGGCUCAGCCAUUCUCUGCCGGAGUCGAACCCCAGAUGGACUGCGUCCAGCGCUUCACCACGUGGCGUCCUCUGACGCACAGCAGCCUUUUGCCGCGAGGAGCUGAAAAGACAAGGACAAAGAAGGUUUUGACCCAAAGCAGAAGAGAGAAAGCAAGAGUCAGGGAAGAGCUACAUCUGACCUUGGCGGUAAAGAUUUGUGUCUUUCUUUGGCCCCUCGAGUGGAGUUGGAGGUUACACUGCCACCAAUGGUCCUUAGCUCCUUGCAGGUCUGUUCCAAAUGACCAAUGAUUAGAAUAUUCAUUCAUUCAACAAACACUGAGAACCUACUGUUUUAGGACCUUUGUGCUGCAGGUAGGCAGGGAGAAAAAGAGAGUGAUAAUGAUAAUAAUAACAGCUCCCAUUUUUUGUAAUGCUUUAAAACUUGUAGUGCACUUUUACCAAAAUAGCCCUGUGAGGUAGAUAGUUUAUUAUCAUCCCAUUUUCCACAUGAAGAAACCGAGGCUUGGAAGACAAUGAAAUGCCCAUGAUCAUACAGUUAAUGAGAGAGUCAGUGUGGCAAAGUGUAUAUAGACUGUGCUAGACUUGAGGUCAGAAAGACCUUUGUUCAAAUUCCAUCCCAGACACUUAAGAGAUGUGUGUCCCUAGGACAAAUCACUUGACCUCUCUUCAGUUUCCUCAUCUUUAAAUAAGGGGGUUGGCAGUGCUAAGUCUAUAUCCCAAAGACAUUCAAAAAAAGGGAAAAGGACCUAUCUGUACAAAAAUAUUUAUAGCAGCUCUUGUCAUGGUGGCUAAGAACUGGAAAUUGAAGGGAUGCCCAUCAACUGGAGAAUGGCUGAACAAGCUGUGGUAUAUGACUGUAAUGGAAUAUUAUUGUGCUAUAAGAAAUGACAAGCAGGAUGAGUUCAGGAGAACCUGGGAAGACUUACAUGAACUGAUGCAUAGUGAAGUGAGCAGAACAAGGAGAACAUUGUACACAGUAACAGCAAUAUUGUUCAAUGAAGAAUUGUGAAUGACUCAAUGAUUCUUAGCAAUAUAAUGAUCCAAGACAACCCCAAAGGGCUGAUGAUGAAGCAUACUAUCUGCCUCCAGAGAAAGAACUGAUAUUGUUUGAAUACAUAUUGGAGCAUGCUGUUUUUCACUUUCUUUCAUUCGAGUCUUUUGUACAAAAUAAUUAUUAUGGACAUAUUUUACAUAAUUGCACUUGCAUAACCUAUAUUUUAUUGCUUACUAUCUCAGGGAGGUGGAAGGGAAAGGAGGAAGGGAGGGAUAGAAUUUGGAACUUGAAACU